AAGCUGAUGUAACAGAAAUGAUGGGAAGAGACAUGCCUGAAAAUACUUGGAAUUUAUGGUGUUCUCACUUUCUUUUUUUUUUUUUUUUUUACUCUAGAGCAUUGUGAUUUACAUUCAAACAGCCUGGUGAAUUUCUUCGGAAAAAAUAUUCUGGUCAAAUAAGAGCUUGAAGCAGUCCAAUGUGAAAGUGGCAGAGAGUGAAGAACACCUAAUGAAAGGCACUCGUCUUCAGCGUGAGGAGCCCCAGACUUUGGAAAAGAACAAGAAAAUCUGUCUCCUAAAGAGAAAGCUCUUAAGCCACAGCUGAGGAUGACAGACUACCCAUGAAAUCACUGUAUUGCACUAUGCAUUAAGUGCUGUACCUCUACCCCAGAGGCUGCUGGUACCUGGAGGAAGGGCAGUGGGUGCAGUGCAGUGCAUCUCAGCGAGCUGUGUGACCAGAAUCCAGCAGCACGGUGUGCUUGGGAUACCCAGACCUUCAGAAACAAAGACUAGCAGUGUGGAAAAGGCUCUCUUGCUGUUGAGGAGCUCUGCAGCUUUUUUGUAGGUAACAUUUUCCAGCUCUUACAUUUUAUGACUG
rnacentral:lncRNA from 1 species